UUUUUGAAAAUAAUUUAAAGUNUAAUCUGCCCACUGAAUAAAUUUAAAGGGCUGCAGUAUAUUGACUGUACAAAGGUAGCAUAAUCAAUAGUCUUUUAAUUGAAGACUUGUAUGAAUGAUUUGAUGAAAUAUAAGCUGUCUCUUUAUUAAAAAUAGAAUUUAAUUUUUUAGUUAAAAAGCUAAAAUAUUUAUAAAAGACGAGAAGACCCUAUAGAGUUUUAUAUUUAUUGUUAAUUUAAUUUUAUAUAAAAAUUUAAAUUAAAUUAUUAAUAAAUAUUUUAUUGGGGUGAUAGAAAAAUUAAAAAAACUUUUUUUAAAAAAAUUACAUUGAUAUAUGAAUAUAUGAUCCAUAAUUUAUGAUUACAAGAAUAAAUUACCUUAGGGAUAACAGCGUAAUUUUUUUUUUUAGUUCAAAUAAAAAUUAAAGUUUGCGACCUCGAUGUUGGAUUAAGAUAAAAUUUAAAUGCAAAAGUUUAAAAUUUUGAUCUGUUCGAUCAUUAAAAU
rnacentral:rRNA from 1 species